AGUGAACGCUGGCGGCGUGCUUAACACAUGCAAGUCGAACGAGAACGGAUUAUAGCUUGCUAUAAUUGUCAGCUAAGUGGCGCACGGGUGAGUAAUGUAUAGGUAAUAUGCCUCUUACUAAGGGAUAACAAAUGGAAACGUUUGCUAAUACCUUAUACUCCUUAUUAACAUAAGUUAAUAAGGGAAAGAUUUAUUGGUAAGAGAUUAGCCUGUAUUGUAUCAGUUAGUUGGUGGGGUAAUGGCUUACCAAGACUAUGACACAUAACUGGUUUGAGAGGAUGAUCAGUCACACUGGAACUGAGACACGGUCCAGACUCCUACGGGAGGCAGCAGUGGGGAAUAUUGCACAAUGGACGAAAGUCUGAUGCAGCAACGCCGCGUGGAGGAUGACACAUUUCGGUGCGUAAACUCCUUUUCUAUAAGAAGAUAAUGACGGUAUUAUAUGAAUAAGCACCGGCUAACUCCGUGCCAGCCGCCGCGGUAA
rnacentral:rRNA from 1 species